rnacentral:sRNA from 1 species
ACGGCAUGGAGUGAACAGGUUAUUCGCGGUGCAGUGUGAUAGUGGAAUAUACUGCAUCACGUGUAACCUCCCUACAC